rnacentral:rRNA from 1 species
UAGUUGGAUCCUGGCUCACAUUGAACGCUGGCGGCAUGCUUUACACAUGCAAGUCGAACGCGGUUCGGGGGCAACCCCGGACUGAGUGGCGAACGGGUGAGUAAUGCAUCGGAACGUGCCCCGUCGUGGGGGAUAACCAGUCGAAAGACUGGCUAAUACCGCAUACGACCCGGGGGUGAGAGCGGAGGACCCGCGAGGGCCUCGCGCGAUGGGAGCGGCCGAUGCCGGAUUAGCUAGUAGGUGGGGUAAAGGCCCACCUAGGCGACGAUCUGUAGCUGGUCUGAGAGGAUGAUCAGCCACACUGGGACUGAGACACGGCCCAGACUCCUACGGGAGGCAGCAGUGGGGAAUUUUGGACAAUGGGCGCAAGCCUGAUCCAGCCAUGCCGCGUGAGUGAAGAAGGCCUUCGGGUUGUAAAGCUCUUUCGGCCGGAACGAAAUCGCCCCUCCGAAUACGGGGGGUGGAUGACGGUACCGGAAGAAGAAGCACCGGCUAACUACGUGCCAGCAGCCGCGGUAAUACGUAGGGUGCGAGCGUUAAUCGGAAUUACUGGGCGUAAAGCGUGCGCAGGCGGUGCGUUAAGACAGCUGUGAAAGCCCCGGGCUUAACCUGGGAAUGGCGGUUGUUACUGGCGCGCUGGAGUGUGGCAGAGGGAGGUGGAAUUCCACGUGUAGCAGUGAAAUGCGUAGAGAUGUGGAGGAACACCGAUGGCGAAGGCAGCCUCCUGGGCCAACACUGACGCUCAUGCACGAAAGCGCGGGGAGCAAACAGGAUUAGAUACCCUGGUAGUCCACGCCCUAAACGAUGUCGACUGGUUGUUGGGGAAGGAAACUUCCUUAGUAACGAAGCUAACGCGUGAAGUCGACCGCCUGGGGA